AUACGGAGGAUCCGAGCGUUAUCCGGAUUUAUUGGGUUUAAAGGGUGCGCAGGCGGGAGAUUAAGUCGGCGGUGAAAUUUUGCAGCUCAACUGUAAAAGUGCCUUCGAAACUGGUUUCCUUGAGUGUAGAUGAAGUAGGCGGAAUUUGUGGUGUAGCGGUGAAAUGCAUAGAUAUCACGAGGAACUCCGAUUGCGCAGGCAGCUUACUAAACUACUACAGACGCUCAGGCACGAAGGCGUGGGGAUCAAACAGGAUUAGAUACCCUGGUAGUCCACGCAGUAAACGAUGAUUACUAGCUGUUUGCGAUACAAUGUAAGCGGCUGAGCGAAAGCGUUAAGUAAUCCACCUGGGGAGUACGUUCGCAAGAAUGAAACUCAAAUGAAUUGACGGGG
rnacentral:rRNA from 1 species